ACACUUUGACAACAGGGCUGAGGUAGCCAGGGUGCUAUGUGUGCAGAGCACCCAGGUUACAGCCCCGCCACCCAGACAUGCCCCAGCUGCCCUGCGUCACUCCUGAUGCAUCAGCCCCAAGAAGGGCAACCUCGACAAAACAUCAAAGUUGGGCACCUUUGAGCGGCAUGGAAGUUCUCCUCCUCUGCACUGAGUAAUUGGAACAAAACGACCCAGGCAGUCUUGCUGUAACAUCAAAGCUGCAUAUAAUAACCUCACAGAUGAAUUUAAGAGUGAAUACAUUCACAGCCACUGCUCAAGUUUGAAGUAUGCUGCAAUGUUUUUCAGCUUCAGAACCAAGCAAGAAGAAGAAGAAGAAAAAACUCACCUGCUAUUGCUUCCUCUAUUGACCCUUCUGGGCUGCAGUGGAAGGUGUGCGUUUAUCGUCUUCACAUAAGAAGUCAGUCUAAGAACAAUGACGAGGAUAGGAACAACCAAGAAUAGGACUGGGGGGGCAGGAGAGAAAUCCCAAAGGUAACAUAUACGUUCAUAGAAAGCCCAGGCC
rnacentral:lncRNA from 1 species